GCCGCGCCCUCCUUCCCCUGCCCCUUCCUCCCUCCCCGCCUCGAUUCGGUCUCCGCAUCGAUUUGGUGCGGGAGGUUUGUGCCACCGAUGUGAUUCGCAAGGGUGAUGUGAGACCGAGCGUGCAGAUUUGGAUGAUAUCAGAUAGAUAUGUUGCUUGGUGCAGCUGAUAUUGGCGAAAUGGUUGUUAUGCUUUCUCUGGUUGCUCGAGAAAGAUGCCGUGAUGUGAACGCUUGUAGUAGUCAUGCAGCUUACACUUAUCCUCACUUCACAUGGAGGUUGUUGCCGCAUCGUUCUUUUAAGCUGAUGUGUUGUGUGGGGUUUCAUUAGUGAUUGUGUGCGUCUUCAUAAAAGAAAAAGAUUGCGUGUAACUUCAUAUAAGAAAAGGAUUCUGUUUAUCUUCAUAAAAGAAAAGGAUUGCGUGUAUUGUGCUGCAGGCGACAACAUGAUUUUGGGUAGGUACUGUCGACGUGCAUAGAAAAUCAUGUGUUUAAUUUGUGGCUAUGCUUCAGAAAGUAAUGCUAGUUGAAGGGUGUAAAUCUCUGUUUUGCCGAUUUGCCGAUAUAUUAAUGUGCUUAUUCUAUUGGGUGUAUAAGUGAAAUCCCCCAGGUUUUGCUAUUCA